AGCUCCAAUAGCGUAUAUUAAAGUUGUUGCAGUUAAAAAGCUCGUAGUUGAAAUUCUGGAACCCUGAACCUGAAGCAACAAUUGCCUCGGUUCAGUGUUUCAUACUCACAAAGAUGUUCUUGCCCAUUAAUUUGUGCUUGGACGGAGUUGUGUCGUUUACUGUGAACAAAUUAGGGUGUUCAAAGCAGGCCUUCGUUUGGAUACAUUAGCAUGGAAUAAUGAGAUAUAACUUUGGUUGUAUUUUGUUGGUGACCACCAAAGUAAUGAUUGACAGAAACUGUUGUGGGUAUUCGUAUGAGCAUGUCAGAGGUGAAAUUCUUGGAUUUUGAUCAGACGAACUACUGCGAAAGCAUUUACCAAGGAUGUUUUCA
rnacentral:rRNA from 1 species